AAUAGGCUAAUUAAGAGCGUAAGGGGAAUGCCUUGGCUCUCAGAGGCGAUGAAGGACGUGAUAAGCUGCGAUAAGCUUUGGGGAGUGGCACAAACACUUUGAUCCGAAGAUUUCCGAAUGGGGCAACCCGGCAUAUUGAAGAUAUGUCACACUGUAAAGUGAGCAAACCUGGUGAACUGAAACAUCUAAGUAACCAGAGGAAUAGAAAACAAAAGUGAUUCCGCUAGUAGUGGCGAGCGAACGUGGAACAGCCCAAACCUAUGUUGUUACGGCA
rnacentral:rRNA from 1 species